AUGGAGGGCGGAACCCAGGAAUGUUCUGGAGAGCAGCCAAGGAACCCAAAGGAAGGAAGCCGGUGGGUUUUAGCACUUUUUUUUUUUUUUUUUUUUUGUGGGCAAAGUAUAGGUUUUUUUUUUCUUAAAGAUUUUAUUUUGACUUUUUUUUUAAUAUUUAUUCAUGACAGACAGAGACAGAGAGAGGCAGAGACACAGGCAGAAGGAGAAGCAGGCUCCGUGCAGGGAGCCCGAUGUGGGACUCGAUUCCAGGACCCCGAGAUCAGGCCCUGGGCUGAAGGCAGACGCUCAACCACCAGGCCGCAGGCGCCGCCGGAGAGCUGUCUGCGAGGAGCUGCUGUGUGCCCUGGAGCACGCGGCCAGGUGCUGUGCACAUCCACCGGGCGACACUAUUGUCACUGGAAGGAUGGUGACGUCUGUGAUACACAUUUUCCUGUAAUUAACUUGUGGUCUUUGGUUCUUUAUAAUAAAGUCAUUUUUCAAAUGGCAUUAGGUCCCUACUGUACUAAGAAAAAGGAAGUGGUUGCUUCCCCCCUCGUGAUGAGAGCAGCCACGGGAGAACGAGGCCGCGGGUGCGCAGCGGGGAGGAGCACCUGCCGCAGCACCACCGCGGUCCCCGGGGCAGGUGACGGGCGGGGCGGGCGGGGCGGGCGGCGGCGGGCGGCCGCGGGGCGGGGGGUGUCCCGGGGCAGGAAGGGCAGCCUGCGGCCCGGCCUCCGUGCGCUUCAGGACCCGCGCCAGCCCGCGGCCGUGCGCUCCUCCCGGGGCGAGGCAGGGGGUGCUUGGCUGGCCUGGGCCCAGAGGAUGGGGCGGCCCGCGGACACGCUGCACCCCCAAGGCCCCGGAGCUGCUCCUGGGGGCUCUGCGUUUGAGGGCAAACCGGGUGUUCCACGUACGAGGCCUCAGGGGCAGAGAAGGAACGGCCAGAGCGCCGAGGCCGACGGCAGCGGCUUCAGGUGGGCAGGGGCCUCGGAGGGUUCCGUCUGUGCCCCUGUGGGUACGCGCGGCCCGAGUUCACAGGAGGGGGAGCAGGCGUUCUUCUACUGCCAACCGGAUGCGGUCAGUUCAGCUCAGCCGCGGGGCAGCGGCCGCUCCCGCCCCGGCCCGGCCUCCCUCCCUCCCUCCCUCCCUCCGCCCGGGCGCAGGAGGGCCCCGAAGGAGCGCGGGUGA
rnacentral:lncRNA from 1 species